AUGAGAUCAUGACCAGAACUGAAAUGCCCCAGGUGCCUCAUCUUUGUUUAUUCUUCUACGAACACAGGGGUGAGUUUCACUUUUUGGUAAGAUUUCAAGAUGAUUUUGGAACUAGCCUUGGUCUACCCUCAAGACAUCUCUCCUCCUUUGCCUUGGGAGAUUCCAGCCACAUUCUCAACUGUGUGGGAUAAGUUUAAAACUCCACAGGGCUUGCACCAAUGGAUUAACAAGGCAUAAAGAAAUACAAAGCCAUAGGAUGCUCACACCCGAGAUUUGCAAACAAGAUUGGGACCACAGGAUAGAGCAAGGAACAGCAAAGGCUCCCAAGAUAGGGUGGGGAGUUCCAAGGUCCCACAGGAUGGGGGUGGUACAAAGGCACCCAGAAUAGAGAGGGGAGCUAAGGGGUCCAAUAUACAUGAAUAUGAAUUAAUCAAGAUGAAACGUUCCUUCCUUACUGUGAAAGAAGAAAGAAGAAAGCUGCUUUCACAGUAAGGAAGGUCCAAAUGAGCUAAACAAGUAAAUAGAGUUAUAGAUUGCUGCACUGUGUGUGAUAUUGUCCAGAAUGAAGCUGAUUUACAAAAGAAAAGAUGUCUUGUCAACCCUGACAUUAUUGCCCUACCUGUCUUAUCCCCUAGGCUAGCUAAGAUAGAGACACGGUGCCUACUGUCUGCUGUUAAAAACCUUCUGCCCAUCUGCCCAGUGCCAGGAUUUUGUUUCAUAUUGACUCAAACACCAAACACUGUAUAUCUUCAAAACCCUCUUCCUCUUCAUGCCCAUGAGCUAAUGUUCACAAACUCAUUGUGUCUUUGUGCAUGCCCAUCACCUUUGUAAGCCUACUGAUCUUGGUAAAUAUGGGCCAAAGACCCUUAUUUGGGGCUCUGGUAUUUUCCUGGACAAUAGCCAUCUCUCACUUUUAAUCCUGAGUCUACUCUCUUGCUGGCCAAGGGAGAAAUUUAGCCUUGAGUCUAUGACACUCCAUUCCUCUGCCAGUCAUACACCACAGUCUCCUUGGCUUCAUUCAUUAUGCACUGAUAGAAAUCAUGUGUAACAAAGGCUUCCAAAACCUUUCUGGUUUUGUGGUGCAAAAAUUCCCUUUAGUAUAUGUAUAACAGUAGGAGGUAUCUUUAUCCCUUUUCUACUUUUCUACUUGGUACUUCUCACAUAAUCCAUUCUAGGGUUUCCCAAAGCACAUUUCCACGUUCUACCAAUAUGUCCUGGUGAGCACGUGUGACUUAUGGCAAUUCUCCUCUCUCUGCCAUCUUGAAAUUGGAUUCUACAUGCCCAAAGUCAUUUUGCCCGAAAGAACAUAUACCUCUCCCUGUUUUCUUGAAACACACAAGAGUUUAGACUACACUUUUAAUUAAUCUCGAGGAUAAGAGAAGCACAACACGAAGAAGCUCAUAAUCCCUUUUAAAAUAGUCACUCAUUAGAAGGGGACAAUAUGGCAGAGUAGCAUGGCAAUUUUCAGCUUCUCUCAUUCCUGAUAUCCAGAUAUAUCAGCACCAAAGCAUUUUUCACACCUAGAAAACAUCUCUGAGGAUUAACACCACAAUCCGCAUAAAUUUAUUCCCAGAACAUAGCAUAUACAUGGCUCAUAGAGGUGAUCUGGGGGUGAGAGAAACCACAGAAGGUAGGGAGUUGUCCUUGCUGCAGAGAGGAUAGAUACAGGGGGUAUAACACAGGAAAACACUCGCCCUGAACGUAGCUGGAGAGAAAGAUAAUGAGUGGAAACACGUAAGGGAAUGAACAAGAAAGGGAGAAAGGAGAAAGGAGGUUUCAAUACCAUUAGGAAGGACUAUAUAAACAAGGGAGGCCAGAGAUGGACACUGCACUUCACUACCAGGUAGUGCUCUGGUGGGAAAGGCGCAUCCCCCGGAGGAGACAGCAAGAUCUGAGGGCUCCAUAGGCCACAUGGGGAGAGGAGGUUACCCUGCUACGAAGACAUUUGGUAGAAGCUGUGUCAUCUUCCCACGGGCAAAGUUCCCAACAGACCCUGGAGAACAGUCAUUUGCUGGUGUUAGAACAAGAGCUUUAGGGGGAGGUGAAGUCUUGUGCCAGAUGGGUGUCAUUAUUCACCAUAAUUCCUGAGAUGUUGCUGCAUGAUCAUGCUAAAGUUUUGUGGGGCAGGUUGGCACCCAACUGUAGGCUCUGGGCAUCUGCAGCAACGUGGUCCCACAAAUGUUCUCAGUGGUGGGCAGCACCGGGACUUUGCUCGGUGAGACCCUCCCACAGAGGGUCAGAGUGGGUCCAAAUCCCAGGGCCCUGAGAAAUGAGAGGUUUGGAAACACAGCCACUUCUGUGUUAAAAUUUGGAACAGAGGUACCGCCUGACAGGUUGAUGGCUUGGUUGCAGAUAGUGUAAAUGCAGGGUAUGGAUGAAAGCUGGAGACAAAAUAAGGGUGCAUGAGUGCCCAUGGGUGAGGGCACAGAGUUCUGAGGCUUGAAACUGGGUAGAUGGGUGAGGCCAUUUACACCUCUCCUGUGCGCAAAAAUUCACGCAUCCACACGCCACAAUGAUCCACCUCAGUAAGCUAAGCAGAGCCAUCUCGUGGGGAUGGAUACACCAGCUCCCACUCGAGUGUGCCAACCAAGCUCUUAAGGACCACCACAAGUCUCUGUCUCCUUAGUGUAUGGACCAUAAUGUUCUUUAUAGUUUGACUUCUUUGGGAAACUGGAUCUCCAACAUGAUGACCAAUAGUAAUGGAUGGAAUGGCUUGCUUUGUUCCUGGAUGUGUCUUCAGUGAUUCCCAGUUACGGAUUGUUUCCCCUAUAAAACAGCUCCAGAGAGUCUUCUGCCCCAGGACAAAGAAUGUAGUAACAUCUGUUCUCAACCGCUGUUCAUUGAUUGCACUCUCAUGUUGCUGGUGCUGCUCCGGGGUCCAGUCUGUCAGAAGAGGCUGGACGCAGACUCUCAUCAUCCUCCAUGAAAGAAAGGCUUCCCAGCUAUUGAAUGCCCCAGGGCGAGCUGGAAUGCUGGGGAUGAAUACCUUUACACAACUCUUAAAUUAGCCUUAAUCCGA